rnacentral:lncRNA from 1 species
GGAAAAGUCCGUUUAACUUCAUUACUCGGUUAUCUGGACUGUCCAAUCCACUUAAAAUAGUCAAGUUCUAGAGCCACCACCUGUAAUGGGUGGGUCUUACAGAGACUGCUGUCCCCGUGACAUCCACAGGAAAUGGCAGAGCGCUCAACCUAGGACUUCUUUUGGUACAAAGCCCCAGAGCAAUGUUUUCAAAAUAGAUGACUUUUUAUCGCUUGACGUGCUUCCCUAGUACUCCAUGAUUUCAUCCUCCAAGCAAGAUUGCCACUAAAAAACAAUGAUCUUUUGUCCGGAUGUGAAAAGUUUACCCGGUCGCCAGCAAAGGCCCAGGAAGACGCUCUUCUUGUCAGUGACUGGUGAAAACAUUGCGCCCCCCAUCGUGGAAGGAAAACGUGAUUACAUUGGCAAAAACUCUUCAUCUUUGUGCAGGACCAUGAGUUAUUAGCUUCGUUAUUUCCAAGAAGACUUGUAAGUGAUGAUCUUUGGAAACUGAAUGGCUCAGCUGAACUGUACCUUUGAUUUCACGAGUAAAUAACAGAUCACAAUUAUAGCGUCAAUCAACACAAACUCAGCAGGCCCCACCACUCCUCAGUCAUGUAAGUCCUGAGUUAUUUCUCAAUUUGAUCCCUCCUUUACCACGUUAAGAGUCAAAAUGAGUGCUUUGUGAAUCAACAGUGAUGUACUGUGCUUCGUCCUGGAGGUCAGAAAGCAGUUUUAGGAGGGCAUAAGAAAUCUUCAUCUUUCCGUGAUUUCCCAAAUACUGGAAAUACUCUGUUGUCCAACAUACUCGAAGAGUGUGAUGUUUUAGUUAGUCAAAAAUUCUUACUAAGUAAAUGACAUCUCCACCACAAAUUCCAAACUUUCUUCAGAUUACAAGAACCAAAACCCUCAACCUCCCAGGAAAAUCAUGACUUAAUCUUGUUUCCAUGAUCGAGAAGAGCAUGGCAGGGCCCUCAGACUGUGCAGUGACAGGAACUGUUAUUAGAUGCUAGAUACACAGAUAACAGAGAGUUUAAAGUAUUAGGAAUUAAAGAGACAUUGUCAAUGUACAAAGGAACGAAGUUGGAUUUUUGUGCUUGUGUUUUAGUUCUUCCUAAGAUUUCAUUUUCAAUCUGCCGUGAAACCCUCCACGGACAGUAACUGGAGAAUCCAAAAAAGAACAAUACUCUGGUUAGCGUACAGAUUGGAAGUGCUGGGUUCUUUCUCUGUGGGAUCAGACUUCCUGUGCCUGAGUCUACUCGGAUUCUUGGCCGGGGAAGGGGUCCUGCGCUUAGCAUUCCCUUUUUGCACUGGACCAUAAAAUUUUCUAAAAGAAAAUGUUAUACCUUUCUUUCACUUUCAAGUUAGCAUUUCGACAUGAAACCUCAUGUAAGAUUAAAGAACAUACGUAGCUUCACAUACUGAGACUUUUAAGUAUUUGCGUGGAAGAAAACAAAUUUUUUUCCAUGUAAGUCACAGUUUGGUCCCCCAUAACGACUCUUGUCUCUUCAAUUCCCUUAGCCGUUGACGCUGUCCUACUUAACUAUGUACCGGCUAGUUCAGUGACACUGACUUUGCAGACACUCAGUUACUACUCACAACCAAUGAAAGAAAUUCUCUUACUGACUUGGCAAGCACAUGCAAUUCGAGUAUUAGCACAAUAUAAAAUACAAAGAUAACCUGAAGAGUAAAGUAUAAUGAAGUAUAUAUGCUUAAUUCCUAAAUGCCCGAUUUAUUUUUGCUCUAUGAAUAAGUGACGUGAUAGCACUGACCAAAUAUUUUCCUUCUCCUUUUUGGCCCGAGCUGACAGUCCCUGUCUAUAAGACGUCAACAUCCUUGUGAUGUUGUGGGAAAUACCCAGGUGCAAUUUAAUGCUUUCAGCUUGAAUAAGCUGUCUCACUCCGGAAAGAUUUCAUCUUUUAAGCAGCAGAAUAGAAUAGUUUUGAAUCAUCUCAAAGUUCCUUUCUCCAAACCGAUUGAAUUGAGCGAAGAAAAACUCUUGUGUCCUCACCAGGAAUUGUGCAAGAUUGCACGCUUGCCUUUAAACGCGCCAAAUGCCAUUGAGUGGAGCGAGUUCGCCCCCGGUGUGUAGACGAGGAUCCAUUUUUUUUUCCUAAUGAACCAUUUUCUAGACUACAUAUGUGCUUCUCUGCAGUCCCCUACAUCUUUGCCAUUAGCCAUCACCGUUUCUAUAUAAAGCUUGGAUGAUAUGCCUGCAUUUUUAUGUUUCUAAGGAGAAUUCCUUAAAGCCUGUUUACAAACAGCUCAGACUGUCUUUCAGAAGUAUAGCUUGAAGGAUGGUUGAAAUGCACAGCAGAACUGAGGUGGUUGUUUCUAUACAUCCAGCGAUGGAAGCACAUCAGCUCACGUCCCUUUAGCUUCAGCAAUCCGGUGUCACUCCUGAAAACGGUUGCUUCUGCCAGCUUGUGACUCAAAACGCCCCUCUUCCCCAUCUGAAGCUGGGGCAUUCCAACAUGGCUAAGGAUGGGCCAUUCCCUUCUAGCGCCCACCCCCCCACCAGCACCUUACGUCCAUUUCCGAGUCUCCAGCCCUGACCUGUAUCAGGCUAUGAAGUGAGCUCAGCCGUUGGGUUGUGUCUCCUCUGCUCACUCAGAGGGGCUGCACUGUCCACGGUACAGCUUUCUCUGGGCACAUAUGUCCUGUCCAGUCGCCCUCCUAGAAAUGGGCACACAGGAAGACUAGCGUGUGCCUGUGAUCAACAGUCUCAACAGGAUUACUCAUUCGACAGCGAAACUCCGCAGAAUGUGGGCGGAAUUGUAUAAAAACACAAUGAGCCAUUUAAUUUUGUUAAUUGUAGCAAUCAGGCUAGCUCGAACACAGGCUGCGCUCACAGCGGAAAGCCAAAAUGGAAGAAAUGGCAAACAGCCAUUUGCCCACAGAAAUGAGGGGUUCAGAAGCUCUCCCUUGAGUGUUUAAGGCAUCACGUUGUUUGAUCAUCCAUCUGUAGCUCUUUCUCUAGACUCCAUAAGAAAAGAAAUCAGACUUCUCUUAUAUCGCAUGCCACGGUCGAAUCCAGAAAUGGAAAACUUUAGUCGACCUGUUGUGGCCUAUGUUCUGCUCCGUGAGGGAUGGUUGGAUGUCCCUGAAAUGUCCAAUUGUUUUUGCUAAAAUAUUUUACUCACACAAAUAGUAUCCUAACCAUAAUACGUCAGAAACACUUGGCAAACUCCAAUUUUUGCUUCGGUGAUUUUUGUUACCCUUAGAUUUUCUUGCAGCUCAGUUCCCCAUAUUGACGGUAACUUACCACGAUGGGACCUUACCGUGUACCCAGUGCUGUGCUAAAGAGCUUUACCUGUGCGAUUUCACUUAAUCCACCCAACUAUCUGUGAAUUAAGUACCAUUUACAGAUGACAAAGCUUAAGCUCGGCGAUACUAAAAUUGCCAAAGGUCCCACAGCUAGGAAGCCGUGGAGCUGAGAAUUGAACGCGACUCGUAACACUUUUUAACUACUGCAGAUUUUUUGAGAGGACCAAGGAACAUUUUCCCACCCAAAUCUACUUCUGAUUUGGUAAGCCUUCAGGUGUAACAAAAUCAUGGUCUGAUGAUGAAAUUUCCCAGAGCAAGUUUCAUUUGGAAGUCAAAGAGGUCUUCCAAAAUGAAAAGUUAAAAAUAAAAAUGGUAGAUAGAUAAGUGCUAUUCUUCCAUUCUAGACAACUGUCCUCUUCCAUGGCCCUACUGUACACUUAAGGAGGAGAUAAAUAGACGCUAAGCUGAUAGUUCUUCUCUUGUAUUCUAUACAUGUCAUUCUAUGCUGUCAUCCAAGAAAGAACUAAACCCCAGUACUUACUCUGACACUCAGAGAGAGAAAGAAAGAGAGCAAGAAGGAAGGGAGGGAAAGAGGAAGAGAGGGAGGAAGGAAAGACAGAUCAACAAACCUUUGAAGUGACAUAAUUCUAUCCCAUUGCCAUAAUUUUCCUCUACAUUGUAUGCCUUGCAGUUCCCAAAAUUUGACACUAUUAUGCCAUUGGCUUGACCCAUCAUAUAAAUUGAGGAAUCUUUCCUUGGAUUGAAAGGUUAGAUGUAAAGAAUAAAGCAAAUGUUCACCCACUAUUUGUUGAGCUUAUUGUAAAAUACUUGAUGUGCCCUUUCCUUCCUCACUUUUGAUGUAACCUGUCUGAGUUCUACAGGAGGACAGUCAAAAGCCAUUCAAUGACAUUGUAUUUUAAGUCGUAAGCGAUGUUGUUGGAAUCGAUGCUAAAAAAGUAGCCAGUAAUAAACCCCAAAUUUUCUCAACGUCUUUUAUUUAUUUUGGGACAGAGAAAGACAGAGCAUGAACGGGGGAGGGGCAGAGAAAGAGGGAGACACAGAAUUGGAAACAGGCUCCAGGCUCCGAGCCAUCAGCCCAGAGCCUGACGCGGGGCUCAAACUCACGGACCGCGAGAUCGUGACCUGGCUGAAGUCGGACGCUUAACCGACUGCGCCACCCAGGCGCCCCAGAACCCCAAAUUUUCUCAAUCUUGGUGUUUAUUUUAGAAAACGAUGCAGUGAUCAAUCUGACUUUAAUGUAUGAAAAAUACAAUCUUCUCUCUUCCUACUUUGGUAAGAUUUAAGCAGAUCUUUCUGACGAUAUGUUAAAUUAGAAGUCACUAAUUUUUGUAGAAAAUCGUGUCUAAAAGAGAUCUAAGAGUUGUGUCAAUACAUUUCUUUUAUAGAUGAGACAAUCAAGGUCCAAAGAGAUCAGGUGAUUUUUGUAAUCAGGAUUCCUUCAAUUAUCUGUCCCAUAAGCAUGCUCCACAGGACGAGCAUCGCUAAGCCAAGUACAGAAGGAGUCUCACAUUCCAGCAGCUUACGCUCUGGUUGUUAGUAGCAGAAUAGGAGUCUUCUGACUUUAACUCUUUUUUUGCUCUACUGCACAGAUUCUUUGGGUAAUAUCUACAUUUCAUUCUACACCAGAGCAAUAAAGACACAUAGAUUCCUCCAUAUUAUAUGAUGUUAAGCCUCACAACAAACAACUGCCACACACAGUGACAAACAGAAGGUAACGAUAUCAACAUAAAGCUAAAUCAACAAUGGCUGACUAUCUAUAAAGAGAAAAGUGAUUUUAUAAUUGGUUUUUGUGCCUCUCCAACACUGGAUGUCUUUAAAUCAAGGUCACCGCGCAGCAAAGAGAAGUUGAAACACUUUUUUGGCACAUGGCACUUGACUCAAAACAAUCAUAUCCGAAUUCCUUUAAAGGAGAGGCAUGACGGGGGCACCGACCUGGCUCAGUCUGUGGAGCAUCUGACUCUUGAUCUCGGGGUCGUGAGUUCGAGCCUCAUGUUGGGUGUAGAGAACACUCAAGUCAAUAAAAUUUAAAGAAAAGACGCACGACAUUCGGAUGCCUCUCACAUGUCUGAAGACUUUUCUAAUAAUCUUCAGGAAACAUCCUUAGUGCACACGACAUGUUUCCAGCAAAGUAGUUUUUUAAGAAUAACAAAUUUCCAGGCCUAAAACUCGGCUAUUGCAACCUGAGAGGUUGGUCGAAAGCCCUACUUCCUGCACCCAGAAGAGCAACAUUACAUUCACGGGUCAGGACGGCCAGACUCACCUCAUUUGGAUACUCAGUGCUGGCACAGCACCCAAACUGAGUCUCUCCCCGCAAUAUGGCCAAGUGGUUGGCUUUCCACAGAUGUAAGGGGUGUAUCGUUUAAAGAUAACUAUUAACUUGCAUAACUAACUUUCUGUAAGUGAAAUAAUUCCAGUCAGGGAAUGCCUAAACCCAUUUGUUCUUUAAGGAAAGGGAAAACACAUAUUAAUUUGUAUGAGCACAGAAUAAUUCGAAGAAUUCUUUGGUGAGUCCCAUCAAGCAUCAGUAAAACAGUUGACCUCAUAAUGGUGGGAGGUCUAAGGUAGGAUUUCUAGGUUCAUGACACCAAGAGUAGUCCAUUACCGCGAUUGCUAUUUCAGCCGUUGCACCAGCCAAGAAGAGUAUAGUUACUGAUACGAUGUUUGCAGAGCAAAGAUCCUGAUAAUAAAACAGAUCAACAUCAAAACUAAUUAAUCAACUUGAUGUGCAAAUAUUACCAGUCCAGUACCAACACAAAAUGUUCUCUUGUGUUGUUAUUAAAGCCUGUCACCUAACGCUGUUAUUAGAAUUUCAGAAAAUGUAAGGUUUCGUGUUUUUAUUAUACUCCCAUCUAUCAAAUUAAGCUGGUGACCCUCUCCUCUCUCUAUGGCUUGAUUUGCAUUAAAAUGGAACUAAUCAAAUUCUUAUUUCAGUUAAGUGCUACAAAUAUUAACAAAUGGAGAUGCUGGGCGUUUGAGCUAAUUUAAUUUAACUGUUCUAGUGGCAUUCUGGUAUGGAGUUGUAUCAGAUCAACACUCUUCAUUAUUUCAAAUUAAUUCAUUUAUCAGUGAGUUCUACAACACCCUUAAGUGAGUUGGAAAUAUAGCUCAGGUUUCUCUCAUUGUGAGAAAUUCCUAUUUUGGUUACAAACCAGUAGAACACGUCUCACUCAACGUCAGCAUUUCAAUCCAUCGCGAUUCUGGAAAAGGAGCACUGGAGUUUGGGUGUGUUGGGUACUGCUGUUAACUUAGCAAUUAACCUUUGACCCGGGCUUUCUAUCCCCCUCCCCCCCCUACACCACCGUAGGUUCUUAUUCUAUUCAAAUUAGGAGCAGUAGCACUCGUCAGGUAACCAAAGGAGAUCUGUCAGCUGGUCAAAGAAUUGUCAUUUCAUAUCCUUCUUUCAAAGAAGUAAAACGUUCAACUUUCCUUAUUAAGCUCUCUAAUGUAUUGUACAUAGAAAAGGAAGUGGAUCGCUGGAAUACGUUUUGAAGUCUGGGGUGAAACAUUUCCCUUGGUGUGAAUCAGAGGCUCUCGGUGCCCCGUGAAGACGACUAAAUCUCUCGCGCUACGAGAAAAGGGAAGGGGGCGAGCCAGUCACAGAAAUGUGAGCCUCGACUGUCACAAAGGUGUAUAUUGCUGAUGGUAUCGAUUCCCUUCUUUUUUUUACAGAAACAUCUUGGAACUUGUCAAGCUUUACCGAAGGUGAUUUGCGUUAGGUAAUGCAACAGACCCUUUAAUCUUGCAAACUCUUGACUUGUAAUGUUGUAGCCAAGCAAGGGGAAAUUAAUCAGUUAGUCGGAGAGAGCACUUCCUGCCGUGCUGUGCCCAGGCCUGAAGAGAAAGAACUCUGUGAAAGUAGGAGCACUAAGGGAUUCGUGCUACCUGCUUCCUCAUCAUUCAUGCUAUGAAUAUUCAUCCGCUUCAUUUGUUUUUUCCAGGAAGCGCUGCUUUGAAAGAAAGAAAUUAAGAAAGAUGGUAAAGGAAAAAAGUCAAUGGAUUCCUGGGGCUUGUGUAGCUCGGAGAAUAGGUACUGGGUCACAGAGACUCGUGUUCAAUGGAUACAAAUCUACAUGUGUUUGGAAAUGAAAAAAAAAAAUGUCAUUGUCACCUCUUUAAUGAUUGACCUGAGUACAGUGGCCGCCCUUCAUUUGUUGAGGCUACUGUUGUCAGCAGUGUGAAAACCAAUUUCUAAAAAUUGAACCUGUAAUUCAGGUUCGGAGGUAAAAAUCUGCACGGAUGGAACUAUUCAGUAACUUGGUUCCUGCCUGACCUGGCAAGUUUCAGACCGAGGCGACUGUGGGGAAUUGUCUCUCCUGCUCCUUCUGAGACCCUGCAACGUCUCGGUUACAAGCUAGAAGAUCGUCAAUUUGAGAUUCUUGAUUGCCUAAGUGUUUGCUUCAAAGUAAACAGGUAAUCUCGCCAUUAAAAAAUCACGGUUCUUUCCCACUUGCUUCUCUGUUUUCCAAGAAAGGUUUGAGCUGUAACGGAAGAAUGAAUGUACCUCAGAUGGUAGUUCCAGAGUCUGCAAGAGUCGGGCAUCCGUCUGUUCUUAUAAAGUUUCUGUCUGACCUUUUGGUAGAGCAGUUUUAGGAAUGAACCCCAGAUGAAUGAGUGAAAGCCAUCAGAUUUAUCUGAUAAGCACCCGAACGGAAACAUUUUUAAAAAAAGAAGCAAGGAUCCUUUUUCUUGUGUUUCAAGGAUGUUUCUCCUUCCUGAGCGAUCAUCUUGGUGACUAUCUCCAAGAUGUACCAAGAGCUACUGAACGAUAGUUUCAGUUAUGGGCUCCAGUAUCGUGCUGAACACGAUGACAAAAGUCAUUUUUCAGAACUAGCUCUUGGCUCAAGCACUGACAUUUAAUGGCAAAAACUGGCCUACCACCGUGUGACUUAUUUUCAAUUGCAAGGCAGUGGAAACUAGUACGUGAAAGAAAAUGUUAAUUUCCUGAACUCCAAAGCCAAAACGGGCAACAAAGCAACUCUGAAACCUACAAUGAGUUGGUUGACCGUGGGGAACCCGGGAGCAAUAAACAUUCCUCUUAAGCAAGGCUCACGAGUGAGACUGGCUAUAAGCUGUGUUGGGACAGAAGGUGAUUGAAGACGACGCCUACCAGUGGCUCAUGAGGAAUAUUUGCCUUUUUAGAGAGCGGAGGUUCAAGGUAGCCCCCUGCUGUUCCAUAACUAUGACGAUAGAUACAUCCAUAUAUGAAGGGCCAAGGCAGAAGACAGAGAAGAUGCCAGGGGCUUCAUGUCUGAGACUAACUCUGUCUCUAAGGGAACAGCUCUCCUUGGUCAUUGGCCCCUAUGCUGCUAACUAGCUCUGCAUGCCAAGAGCUUCUGAUGGAUUACAAGAUGAGAUAUUCAAAGGUAUUGUAAGUACUCUUGCUCGUAGAACACGAACCAUUGAAUUAUCCCUCAUUUCAACAGCAACGAGAUUCAGGGUUACUAUGGCCUUACUCAUCAUCCCAUUGUAAAUACGUCAUGACGUCACGAGAGCCUCCGUGUUCAAAUUCACUAAAACAGGUUUCCACGUUCCAAGUCUGUGUCUCUAUCCGCAAAUUGGAAACAUAACUUUGGGAGAAUGAUUUUCAGAAUAACAGAAGUGAAAAGAGAGUGGACAGUGAAGCAAUUUCUCACCAUACACGAAACCACUUAGAGUACUGAUAGCCCUAAAGCUCUGAUUUUUUUUUCUCAUGACUAAGUUUCCUUUAACUUAGGGGCUUUCAACAUCUGAAUUUUCCGGAUGAUUACUGACACAUCUUCACCAAACUGAAGCAGACACAAUGGCAUUGUUAAAAAAUAAAGACUGCCCACAUGAAUGCCAAUAUCCCAAUGAAAAGCGAAGAAGGAGGUCACUCAAGGAGUAAAUUUGGUCUUGGUGAGGUCAAACAUUUGGCUGCUUGGGAAAAUCCAGAUGUUUGAAUGAUACGGUUUUUCAUCUGGUAGUCUGGUGUUGUCUCGAUAGAAAAUGCUCAGGUGUUGUAGGUAAUGAAAUUUAACUUUCUUGUUGCAGUAAUCUGUUGCUGGUGAUAUUCUGCUGCUAACAAUCUCUUUGUUGUGCAAAGAGGAAUAAAUAAUGCAGAGCAAAUGCUAUUUGAUUUUUUUAUUUACUUUUGGCACACCCAAGAGUGGAAGAGGUUUGGGAGGCUGUCCUGGGGGGGGGGGGGUAUUCCGAUGUGAUUGAGGCACAGACCUCCCUCACCGAGCCGGUUCUGGAGGCCUGCCACUCGGCUCCUUCCUGCCGAGGAAACUUUUUAUCCAGCUCUUUUCCAUCCUUUUAUACUUGCCCCUCUGCUCUUCAUGUAGGUCUUAAUCGCUCACAAAGUCUACUUGACAGCAGAGUUCAAGGGAAAUACAGAGUCGUUAACUUUUCAUUCUUCAAGUAGGAAGUUUCCAUUGCAAGGACUUCUUAGAUCUUUGAAGCAGAAAAAUCAUUUAAACUACUCAAUGCAGUUAUUUCGUGGUGCAUGUUGCGGUGUGGACAGAAGUAAAAGCUAUUUUUCCCAAAUUAUACAAAAUGCAUACUUGGUUUGGUUUAUUGAUGUCGUUCUGAUUGCCAAGGACUGACUGGUUAUACGCAGUGGAAGAGUAGUGUUGUCUUUGUAGUCCCAGAAAACGGAAAAAAAGAGAAAAUGUCAAAGGAAAGUUCACUCUCCAGAAAGAAAGUUUGAGAUAGUCGUAUGACUCUUGUGUUUGUGACUAAUUAGGGACGUUUCCUUCCUUGUUUCCUCUGACUUGGCUCUGGACUAGUGAGUGUGUGUAUUUCAUCAAAUUGGGUGCUUACCUCAUUUUCUAUUCUGAGGCUGGACAGGAAAACAGGCAAGUUAUUCCGACCGAUUUUCUCUUCCGUGAGUUUAAGUUGCGGAACUCGUUCCGAGGCACUGACCGUAAGCAGGCACACAGAGCGCGAUCGAAAGGUCACGAGAGCAUUUCCAGAGAAAAAUCUAAAUGUUUUGUACAUUCUUAGCGUUUGAUUGCGUCAAAUGCUACCUUUCAGCGCCAACUUAGAACGACUUCGUGGGGUAGGCAUUGCCCAUGUCCUUGUUGGGUCCCUCCUCCCGUCACAUGCAGACGUUUCCGAAAUCAAUUGGAUGCUCCACCUUGUGUAGCAAGGGCCUCCGGCCACUGGGUGUCGCUGCUCUGUGCUGACUGUGUUUUGAAAACGCUCCUUCGGAUGGCUGACCCGGUUUGCUAGCCCCCCACCUGUGAAAGCCCUCGGGACCACCGCGCCGCCACUUCCUGUCGCAGGUGUACAAACCAACCCGGUUUGGCUUUGCUUUUCUUUUUCCUUGAGAUUUUUGACUUCACCAGAUCUUUUCCCAAAUCUUUUUACUUUCAUGUUAUCGACAGGAUAUUUAGUUCAGUGUUUCAGUCAACCGGCAACCAAGAGGCGACAAUCCGUGGGCAACUACAGAAAUUUUAGGUGUUUUGGUUUGUUUUGUUUUCAGUUAUCUUUUAUUAUGUAAUAAUUGAAUGGAAUUUGUGGUUUGGUAGAAAACUAAAAGUCCCUGAGUUGAAUAUAACGGCUGUUGUAAUUAUACUUAAAUAUAUUCUACGACACAGUAUCCUUUCACACUAUGAAGUAUACUCCUUUCUGGAGACAAGAAGAUGGAAGGGCCAUGGUCCAGCGGUGGAAACACACACAGGGGCCUAGCAUCUGCGCCCCUUGAGUCCUCAUUCCUGGUCGGUCCCUUCAGCCUCAGAAACUCGCCCUCAGCCUCCUUUUUCCCAUAUGUAAACGAGAGAUAAUCUUUAUCUACCUACCUCAUAGUGAUUUUGUGAAGAUGCGUUAAGUUGGUAAAGCGCGUCGGCACUUGAGUAGCGGUGUUAGCGCAAAGGAGGCCUGUGCGCAGCCCUGAAAUAGGCUACAGGAGGGGGAAGUGGAGGCAGCUUAGUAACACGACAGCAAUAAAUCACCAAGCAGAGAGUACGAGUAUUUGUGAUCACUUAGCAGAAGUGGAACUUUUUCUUCAAAGGUCUAUGUAGAACUUUUUUUUUUAAUUACCAGCUUUUUAAUGACAAAAAUUAAUUCCUUUCAUACAAACAUUGAGAAGCUUCGUACGGAAGGACGAUUUCCCUCGUAGCCAAGCUGAAUUUUAUGAAAUAGUUAUUAAAUAUAUCUGGAAGACUGGGCUCCUUCUGAUGCCUAAAGAGUUUGCACGCCUGAUCCCCAAACUACAUUUUCCAGAAUGCCUGCCUGAUACCUGAGUUCAGGACUCACGAUUGCCAAGUGGUGUUCUGGAACCCACUACCAGGAGGGAAAAUUUUUAAUCGAUAUUGAGAUUAGAUUUUGUGUUGUUUCCGGUGAAGUUCUUUUUUGACUCUUAGAUGACACAUCCCUCCCUUUACUACCCAAUAAAAGAAUGUAAAGCCUUAUUUAUGCCUGGAACUUCUGAAUUGGUUUCUUUUCAGAUUAUAAAUACAUUUUAAGAUUUUCUAAGAAGUGUUUACACAAGGGCUUCAGCUAUAUAUUGAUAUACAUGUAUCCUCAUACAUGCAUAGAUCUGAGUAUUCAACUAUAGGACACAGGAGAUGGUGGGGAAACAACCAUAGAGAACAUCCUGUACAACUUCCCCCAAAAGUCACAUGCUUUUUCUUACUUAAAUAUUUAGUCCGGAUAGGAACUAGUGCUAAAUCACAUAAUUUGGGGUUAUAAAUAUUUAUCAUUUUUCAGUCGUGGCGGUAAUAUUGUAACGUAGGAAUAUACCCAUUAAACUAUACUAACAAUUCAGAUAAUGUCUUAAUGCUGUGACUUCACAAGGAAAAGUUGUGUACAUAAAUACUGUCAUUGUGCCCUUAGUUAAUAAUUAUAUUCCUUUGCAAAAAAAAAAAAAAUGCAUGCUCUUAAAAACACAAAAUAAGGUUUCAGAAAGUUUAUCUUGAUAAAUGGGUUUAAAAUCAUGUUGUGCCUAGAACUACAUAAAGGACACAUUCAACAUAAUCUCUUCUGGAUUCUACAAUCUAGUUGCCAGUGGUAUAGCUUAAAAUUUCACAUUGGUUAUACAUUUCUAAUGCAUGGUAUUAAGCUUUCUGGAGCAUGAAUUUAACCUAGGCAAUUGCCUGAUCCAUUAAAAAAACAUGUUUAUGUUGCCAUGCCAGACUUAAGACAAAUACUUUUUUUUAGACUCAAAAUAUGAGUAUAGUAAGCGAGUCAAAAUGAUUUGGACUUCUCUGACUUUUUUCCCCCGAGUUCCACGCAUCAAUAUUUUUCAAACCCAAAGUGCAUCAGAAUAUCCUUGUUUCUGAAGGGAAAUAUCCAUAUCGUUUGUUUUUGUGCAAGAAAACUGAAGUUAACGGGACUGGAUUCAGGGACAUGCAAAUAAGAUACGGUGUGGCACGUUCUAGGGGGGCUGGCCAGGAUGAGGGGGGCGCUGGGAGAGAAGGCAUCACUGGCAGGCUUACCACCAAGGUACAAAACAGAAUCUAAACGUAGUAGCUGGACAACUCUUUGAAGUGAUGGAAAUGAAAUUCCUCACCAAAGAGAUGAACACACAGGUGGAACAACAUGUUAUUAGACAGAAGCUAUGCAUCUAAUUCCGGGGAAAACGAAGUUUGAACCUCCCCUACUUCACUCUUAAGGCUUUCCAGCCCACAUGGAAGGCGCUAGAGUCUUCCCCAAAAUAGAAGACUUUUUUAGAGAACUACUUUUUAGCAAAGAUGCAUGUGAUUGUACCGCCGUGGACCAGCCAUUAUGUAAUUAUCACAUAUGUGAUGCUUUGUAAAUGUAGUUGUCAACUCUUACGGUCACUUCCAGUAAAUUCUGUCCCAUAAACAUGUGGCAGAAAAUUCUCUUGCUCCAAAGGAAUGCCUGCCAACUUGCUUACAUCCAGUCUUACCCCUCGCAUCUUACUAUCGCAAAACUUUCAUAUCCAGAUGGUAUGGGACGGUUGAAAAAUGAAGCUUUCGGUAAAUUGCUUAUUGAAGGUCUCACCUGAAGCUUCUCUUCAGUGAAGGGGGCAGGAGGAGCGGGGAACCUGGGUGAGAAUCUUGUCUCUAUUAAAUUGUCUCUGCUUUUCUUCUCAGUUACCAGACAGCUUGGUAGCCUGGAGAGCAAGAUGAUAGGGAAACGUGCACAUUAGGUUUUUCCCAUUCUCAGAGCAAGGAGGGCAGCCAGGAAGCCAGAGGUUCCCACGCCUUUGAAACCAAAUAGUACAUUGAAUUUAGGGCUAAGACAAAAAAGAAAAAAAAAAUGUUGUAGAGUAUGAGCGACAUCAUCCUUCCUACCGGUUCUUUUCUCAGUUUCUACUGAAUUCUUUUUUACGGUUUAGACCAGAGGUUUCUAAUAAUGAUCACUGAUGCCAUUUUAUGUUAUAAAUUCCACGCAGAAAUGGUGAAAGCAUGAGUUACCCACAAAAUUACCGGGAAUACUGACUUUGUCUGAAACUGACACCCUCCCUAGCAAACUAGAAACAAAUACAACUUAGUAUUCUGGUGUCACUACGAACAUCUAGUAAAAAAAUAAAAAGUAAACAAAAGGAGCGUUUUGCUCAGCAUUAAACCAUCGCACAACAUAAACCCGCUUCCAAAUGGCAAGGAUUUUUACUACUGACAUUCGUCCUUCCUUCUGCAUUAUUUUCAGUAACUAAUUUUCACAUCUAACUACCUCAGCUACUGUCCUUUCAUUUAGAAACAUGAAACCAUGCACUUUGUAACCAACAGGUUUUUCAUUUCAAAUUUCAAAAGGAUACUUGGUGCAAAGCAAUUUUCCAAAAUUUAUAUAUGACGGAAGAAACCCACCCUCAGCAGCUUAUCCUUAACUCUGUUUGUUUGUUUCUGAGUUGGAUUGGGGUAAAAAAAAAAAAAAAAAAAAAGAAAGAAAGAAAGAAAGAAAAAGAAAAAAUUCGUUUCCACUUAAUACCAAGAAAAGCUGCUCUAUAUUUGCUUGAUUUGCCUUAAGUAUUUUGUGCUCCUUUCCCUGUUCAAUUUUUUUUGUUUGUUUGUGUUAAAGCGAUCUCUGAAAAGAAAAUGUAACAGGUGGCAGACGAGCAUCAACUAAGAGAAGGGACCAAUCAUUUCUCAGUUCCCUGUCGUCAACUCUGCAUGACAUUCUGAUUGUGCAAAAUUGCCAUUCCUGUGUUUCUCUCUCCCAUGACCACUAGAGAAAUAAGGUCCGAGAGACCCCACGUGUGUGUUUAGGGAACGGUGUAGACAUUUCCCCCAGGACGAGCACAGUGCCUGGACCCGAAUGAUAACCUUGGCGGUUCUUGGGCUUUUACUUUGUAAACAUUGUACAAAUGUAUUUGGAAUCUUAUUUGAAAUGAAGAGUUAAACUAGUUACGAAAUUCUUUUCCUUCCUGUAAAUAUAUAUAUUCAAACUCCAUGUAUCCAAACAUUCCUUUAGCGUUCGGAUUGUAAGAGUGUCUUUAUUGGCUGGAGGCCGCCGUCUCGGGCCGCGGUCCCACGUGCUCUAGUGGAAAGCACAGUGUGUGGUGUAUUUGAUGUACUAUAAUACCAUAGUUAUUUUGGUCUGUUAAGUAAGUUGCAAUUUGUGAUGAAAUGAAGUGGAAAGUAGUGCUUCAUAACGAGCAAAUUUCCUCGGUUACAUGAUUUUUUCUUGUAAAACUUAAAAAAAAAGAAAACUUGAAAUUUUAUAUAUUUGGAUUUUGUAGAUUUUUUUUUUUUAUUUUAUUGCAACACAAGGUACCAAAAUCAUUAAAUAAAGUACACUGUGGUCAUUUUAACAGAAGUCUGAGUUCCUGAUUCUUUCUAAGGGCACGAAGAGAGCAGUCGUUGUGGGUCUGAGAAGGGAAGGUGGCAGAAGGCCAUAUUCUCAGGCAUAGUCUCGAGACAAAGUGAUUGAAACCUGAAAGUAAACGAAGCUGAAUUCUGUCAAAUCU